CUAUCUAAACUCACCCCUUGCUUCUGGGUCGGCGCCGAAUCUCAGCUCCGCUCCCACGCAGUUUCCAUGGCAACCAGCUGUCAUCUCUUAAUGGCCGUGUCAGGGAGGCAGAAAGUGAAAGUAGGGUGAUAAGAGGGCAGUGGACUGUCCAGCCCUGGUGUCCCCUGACUCAGUUUCCACUGUACUUCCCAGAGGCGGUGCAAUCCAGACGGCGAUGGCUCCAGCAGGCUGGCGCGGAGACGCCUGAGUGGGUCAGGUCUGAGAAGGUCCUGGCACCCGACAUUCCUAGAGGAGUUUCCACCCGAGACGCGCGCUUGAGGGGUUGUGUUUCCUGUGAGCCCGGAAAGCAAAUGUUCACUCGGUCGCCAGCCACGCCGGGGAGUUUGUGACUCUCAAGGAUGUAGCCAUGGAUUUCACUCUGGAAGACUGGGAAGAGCUGGACUAGAUCUGGAUCAGAGAGACCUGUUCUGGGACCUUCUCUUGCUCAGUAAGCAUCACCUUGAUCCUAGUCACUGCCCUGCUUUCUGCCCGUCACCCACAGGAUUCUGUCAUCGGAUGCCCAGUGCACAGGACAGCACCUUGUGACAGAGGCUCCUCCAGCCCCGAGCACGGACAGUGCUGGGCCUCAGGAACCCGCUCUGGCCCCCGCUGGCUUCUUGCAUCCCCUCCCUUUCCUGCUUGUGACUGGAGCCUUUCCCUGGGCAGCAGGGUCAGGAGGCCGAGGCUGCCGUCCUCUCUGCCCACACAGCUCAGCCCGCACUCACCCUCCCGUGGCUCCCACGUGGUCUCACUGGCCGUGUCCUCUGGAACGGGAGCUGGUGGGGCGGAGAGCAGUGAUCUGUGUGUUCAUUCACUGCCUGAUGAGCACUGGUAAGCUAGGGAAGUCUGUGGUGGGGCUUUCUUGUUGGCCGCGAGCUGGCAAACAAUGACAUGGAGACUUA